CAAUAAGCGGAGGAAAAGAAACCAACAGGGAUUGCCUCAGUAACGGCGAGUGAAGCGGCAACAGCUCAAAUUUGAAAUCUGGCUCUUUCAGGGUCCGAGUUGUAAUUUGUAGAGGGUGUUUCGGGUGAGGUGCCGGCCUAAGUUCCUUGGAACAGGGCGUCAUAGAGGGUGAGAAUCCCGUCUGCGGCCGGCGACCGACCCCUUGUGAAACCCCUUCGACGAGUCGAGUUGUUUGGGAAUGCAGCUCUAAAUGGGUGGUAAAUUUCAUCUAAAGCUAAAUACCGGCCAGAGACCGAUAGCGCACAAGUAGAGUGAUCGAAAGAUGAAAAGCACUUUGGAAAGAGAGUUAAAAAGUACGUGAAAUUGUUGAAAGGGAAGCGCUUGCAACCAGACCUGUGUGCGGGUGAUCAACCGUCGUUCGCGACGGUGCACUCGCCCGCUGCAGGCCAGCAUCGGUUCGGGCGGCCGGAUAAAGGCCUCGGGAAUGUAGCUCCCCUCGGGGCGUGUUAUAGCCCGGGGUGCAAUGCGGCCAGCCUGGACCGAGGACCGCGCUUCGGCUAGGAUGCUGGCGUAAUGGUUGUAAGCGGCCC
rnacentral:rRNA from 1 species